CCUACGGGUGACAGCAGUGGGGAAUAUUGGGCAAUGGGCGCAAGCCUGACCCAGCGACGCCGCGUGAGGGAAGACGGUCUUCGGAUUGUAAACCUCUUUCAGCAGGGAAGACAAAAGGACGGUACCUGCAGAAGAAGCCACGGCUAACUACGUGCCAGCAGCCGCGGUAAUACGUAGGUGGCAGGCGUUAUCCGGAAUUACUGGGUGUAAUGGGUGUGUAGGCGGGUUUGCAAGUCAGAUGUGAAAAUUAUGGGCUCAACCCAUAACCUGCGUCUGAAACUACAGAUCUUGAGAGUGGGAGAGGUAAACGGAAUUCCCGGUGUAGCGGUGAAAUGCAUAGAUAUCACACAGAACACCGAUUGCGAAGGCAUCUCACGAAUCCGCGAUUGACGCUGAUGCACGAAAGCGUGGGUAUCAAACAGGAUUAGAUACCCCUGUAGUC
rnacentral:rRNA from 1 species